rnacentral:rRNA from 1 species
UACAGAGGGUGCGAGCGUUGUUCGGAAUUAUUGGGCGUAAAGGGCGCGUAGGCGGUGCGGUAAGUCACCUGUGAAAUCUCCUGGCUCAACUGGGAGCUUGCAGGCGAAACUGCCGUGCUGGAGUGUGGGAGAGGUGCGUGGAAUUCCCAGUGUAGCGGUGAAAUGCGUAGAUAUCGGGAGGAACACCUGUGGCGAAAGCGGCGCACUGGACCACAACUGACGCUGAUGCGCGAAAGCUAGGGGAGCAAACAGG